GCCCGAUUUAGACAGCAGCUUCAGUCUCACCCUCGUUUGGAGAAGUGUAUUGUCUGGGGGAAUGCUGCGUGACCCGAACAGCCAGCACAGAAUGUCUAGGUUCUUUCAUCCCGUGUGGCCGGGCUGCAGCUGGGUCACCUUUGCUAUGUAUGUCCAGGGAGAGUGUGACUUCCACUGGUUACCCAGCACAAGGUCUAUGAAAUGAGACUUCACAACACAAGUGGCUGGACAAUGUUUGAACAGAAAUACCCCAAACUAAACCCCAGAAUGAAAGCAAGGCAACUCCCCUUGGCCCUGCCCAUCCUUCCCCCUGCCCUCCUGCCCACUCUACCUACAAGAAGACGGAAGGAGACAGUUUUUGAAAGCACCCAGCUGUAAUUGGUGAGCACGCUUGUCCAGGGAGCCAUCCCAUGGCACAGAAUGGGCUUCAGCUCCUCUCCAUCUGGCACAGGACGGCUAUGAGAGCAGAGACUGCCACCCACCAAUCACACCUUCCCACCUCUAGAGUAGACAAAGAUGGCUCUUUAGGUCAUUUUAUUUUAUUUCUUUGUUGUUUCCCCCCCCCUUUUUUUUUCUCCUCCCCCCGUUUUUUUUUUUUUUUUACAAAAAUUUCUACAUCUAAAUCACUUUGCUAUAGAAACAUUAUUUUCUUUCCUUUUUUUUUUUUUUUUUUUUUUUACAUUAGUUAAAGCAGAACCUGCUUUUGUGAAAAAAGACAAGGAUCAAGGUCUUAUUUCAUGCAGAAAAUGCAAAUUAAAGAACAUAAAAAUG
ensembl:lncRNA